CAAACAGAGCACAUUGAGUUCCAAUUUUCUACUGUAAGCACCAGCUAAUUUAUAGUAAUCAUGGUACAAAAUGUGCUUAUGUAUUCAUAAAUGAAAAUUCAAUAUCUUCAGUGAAUUAAUUACUAUGCAAUAUGUGCAUAUGUGGUCACAAAUGAAGAUCCAAUAUCUUAAGUAAAAUUUUAUUGUGCUGAAAGUGAAUUGCGCAUUCUUUCAGGGAAAUACAAUAGGCACUUGUAGAGAUUGGUGACAAAGAUCCUUCAUUUAUCGGGUCAAGUGAAUGGAUUGGAUCCAUUGAAUUGAGUUUUGUUUUGGAUAAACUAAUUGGAGUUAGUUGCAAAAUCAUAAAUGUUAGAUCUGGAGCUGAACUUCCUGAAAAGUGUCGAAAGUCGGCAUUGCAUUUUGAGAAUCAAGGAACUCCUGUCAUAAUUGCCAAGUGAUGCGGCUAGUGGAUCCAUUUCGCCCAUGAAUGUAAGGAUACCACAUGAUGAUAGUGAUCCUAAU